AAAAAGAAGGAGAAAGCAACGAGAAAAUAAGAAAUUGUUUUUUCAUUGUUUUUUCUUUCGUUUUUAAUUUAUUUGGUGAAUUGAGGUAAUUGAGUUUGCCUUGUCACCGUAUCACCUUGAACAAAGCAUGUCGCUCAAAAUGGGGUCUUCAGACAAGGAGUGUUGAGCAUGGAAUGAGAGAAUAUGAGAAGGAAAAAAAAGAAGAGAGUGAUCUUGGAGGUUUUUCUUUCUAAUGGCAAAUGGGAAUUAUAGGAGGAAGUUCGUAUUAUAAAGCUAGAGGUGAAAUUCUUGGAUUUUUAUUAAGACGAACUAAGGCGAAGGCAUUCUUCAACGGAAUAUCGUCGAUCAAGAACGAUAGAAGGGGGAGUCGAAGACGAUCAGAUAACCGUCGUAGUCUCUUCAGU
rnacentral:rRNA from 1 species